GGAGAGAUGGCCGAGUAGGCUUAAGGCGCUCGCCUGCUAAGCGAGUGUAGGGUGUAAAGCUCUACCGAGGGUUCGAAUCCCUCUCUCUCCGCCA
rnacentral:tRNA from 1 species